rnacentral:rRNA from 1 species
CCUACGGGGGGCAGCAGUGGGGAAUAUUGGACAAUGGGCGCAAGCCUGAUCCAGCCAUGCCGCGUGAGUGAUGAAGGCCUUAGGGUUGUAAAGCUCUUUUAUCCGGGACGAUAAUGACGGUACCGGAGGAAUAAGCCCCGGCUAACUUCGUGCCAGCAGCCGCGGUAAUACGAAGGGGGCUAGCGUUGCUCGGAAUCACUGGGCGUAAAGGGCGCGUAGGCGGCGUUUUAAGUCGGGGGUGAAAGCCUGUGGCUCAACCACAGAAUGGCCUUCGAUACUGGGACGCUUGAGUAUGGUAGAGGUUGGUGGAACUGCGAGUGUAGAGGUGAAAUUCGUAGAUAUUCGCAAGAACACCGGUGGCGAAGGCGGCCAACUGGACCAUUACUGACGCUGAGGCGCGAAAGCGUGGGGAGCAAACAGGAUUAGAUACCCCCGUAGUC